rnacentral:rRNA from 1 species
AUUGAACGCUGGCGGCAUGCCUUACACAUGCAAGUCGAACGGCAGCACGGGAGCAAUCCUGGUGGCGAGUGGCGAACGGGUGAGUAAUAUAUCGGAACGUGCCCAGUCGUGGGGGAUAACGUAGCGAAAGCUACGCUAAUACCGCAUACGAUCUACGAAUGAAAGCGGGGGAUCGCAAGACCUCGCGCGAUUGGAGCGGCCGAUAUCAGAUUAGCUAGUUGGUGAGGUAAAGGCUCACCAAGGCGACGAUCUGUAGCUGGUCUGAGAGGACGACCAGCCACACUGGAACUGAGACACGGUCCAGACUCCUACGGGAGGCAGCAGUGGGGAAUUUUGGACAAUGGGCGCAAGCCUGAUCCAGCAAUGCCGCGUGCAGGAUGAAGGCCUUCGGGUUGUAAACUGCUUUUGUACAGAACGAAACGGUCCUCUCUAAUACAAGGGGCUAAUGACGGUACUGUAAGAAUAAGCACCGGCUAACUACGUGCCAGCAGCCGCAGUAA